GGCCGAGCUCUACUUGUCUGUCUUCUGCUUCUUGGUUUCCACUUCGUCCUGGAAGACAAAAGUUGGUCACACGUGGAGAAACUCACCUCCUCGUCAUCGUCAUCAUCGUCCUCUGCUGCUCUCUUCCCCCUCGGCCCGUCCAGGUCGUCGUCAUCGUCCUCGUCUUCCUCACCUGAAGACACACAGCUCCAGCAGCUGCUCCAAGAAGAAGAAUUAGGGAGGGUCUGGUUUUAAAUUCUCGUCAAAUGUGAAUCAAGUCCUCCUGUUACUGGUUUACAUACAUGGCCACAGGCCAGGCCAGGACUGGACUGGCCUGGACUCUCUGGACUGGACUUAACUGGAGUGGACUGGACUCGUGCACAGAGCAGAUGAAUCCUUAUCGAGCAGCUGCUGUGGUGUCAAGAGUUUUAUUUAAAUUCCUAUUAUAAAUAUGCAGGUGCUUUCUUCUCAAGCACACACACACACAGAGUGAAGGUGUGUGUGUGUGUGUGUGUGUGCAUGCGACAUCAGCGACCAGUGAACAGCAACUUUUCCUGGACACAAACACAGAGUCAGUGCAGCACCAGCUGUUGUCACGACCUUUAUUUAGAGGUCGUAUUAUACCCAGGUCUCUAUGUCUUCCAGUGAUGCUCGUCUUUAAGAAAUCCCUGCAUCUCAUCAGAGCUCAUUUAUUUAUUUUAGGACAAUUUGUCCUUAUCAUAGAUUUACAUGAAAUUGCUUCAUUUAAACAUUUUUACACAACGAUGAAGGGGAAGAAAAAAAAAACAUGUAUACAAGAAUAUAAUAAUAUAAGCAUCAAAAGUCAAAACAUGUCACUUAUUUUACUAAAAAAAGCACAUGUUUAAAAGGUACAGUGUGGGGAUUUAGCGACAUCUAUUGGUGCAGCUGAAUAUUCCUCUUCCAAACAUGCAGGAGAACCAGUUAAUCAUCCUACAGAUUAUAAAACAAACAGAUUAACUAACCCUCCUUUUUCUUUCUCAUCUAUUCCUGUAAUAUUAUUUACUGCAUUUAUAUUUCCUUUUUUUCUUAUUUAACAUCUAUUUAUCUAAAAUGUACUUUGAUUAUUGCAUAAUAUAAAUAUUAAUUUGUGUAAAUGUGUACUUUUCAUAAAUAAUUAGUAAUUAUUAUAGUAAUAAUUAAUAAUUCUGCCAAUUAGGCAGAAUUAGUCAAUAUGUUUUUUUUCAUCUGGACAGAUGUUUAAAAAUCACUUCU